rnacentral:rRNA from 1 species
UACGAAGGGGGCUAGCGUUGUUCGGAAUUACUGGGCGUAAAGCGCACGUAGGCGGAUUUGUAAGUUAGGGGUGAAAUCCCGGGGCUCAACCUCGGAACUGCCUUUGAUACUGCAAGUCUCGAGUCCGGAAGAGGUGAGUGGAAUUCCUAGUGUAGAGGUGAAAUUCGUAGAUAUUAGGAAGAACACCAGUGGCGAAGGCGGCUCACUGGCCCGGUACUGACGCUGAGGUGCGAAAGCGUGGGGAGCAAACAGG